rnacentral:rRNA from 1 species
GAAGGUGGCUAGCGUUGUUCGGGAAUCACUGGGGCUUAAAGAGCAUGUAGGCGGUCUGGGAAAGCGUCUUGUGAAAUCCCUCGGGCUCAACCGAGGAACUGCUGGGCGAACUAUCAGACUUGAGGCAAGUAGAGGUGCGUGGAACUCUUGGUGGAGCGGUGAAAUGCGUAGAUAUCAAGAGGAACGCCGGUGGCGAAAGCGGCGCACUGGGCUUGUCCUGACGCUGAGAUGCGAAAGCCAGGGGAGCGAACGGGAUUAGAUACCCCGGUAGUCCUGGCUGUAAACGAUGCCUACUAGGUCGGAGGCCUUCUGACAGGGUUCCGGUCGUAACUAAAGCGAUAAGUAGGCCGCCUGGGGAGUACGGUCGCAAAGGCUAA